rnacentral:rRNA from 2 species
AAGAGGAAGCUUGCUUCUUCUGAGUUAGCGGCGGACGGGUGAGUAACACGUGGGCAACCUACCUUGUAGCUGGGGAUAACUCCGGGAAACCGGGGCUAAUACCGAAUAAUCAGUUGUACCUCCUGGUACAACUCUGAAAGACGGUUUCGGCUGUCACUACAAGAUGGGCCCGCGGCGCAUUAGCUAGUUGGUAAGGUAACGGCUUACCAAGGCAACGAUGCGUAGCCGACCUGAGAGGGUGAUCGGCCACACUGGGACUGAGACACGGCCCAGACUCCUACGGGAGGCAGCAGUAGGGAAUCUUCCACAAUGGACGAAAGUCUGAUGGAGCAACGCCGCGUGAGUGAAGAAGGUUUUCGGAUCGUAAAACUCUGUUGUAAGGGAAGAACAAGUACGUGAGUAACUGCACGUACCUUGACGGUACCUUAUUAGAAAGCCACGGCUAACUACGUGCCAGCAGC